rnacentral:lncRNA from 1 species
CAAAACAAAACAAAAUUAGAAUGUAAGAAACAUAAACAGAAGACCAGUUGAAUCAUAUUAGACCAGCUGCCACAGAACGUUGAGCGGAGAAGUUCCUUCAGAGGGAUAUUCGGAUUGUUUAUUUCAUCUUCUUUGACUUCAUUUAUAUAUUUUUCAACAACAGAUGGAUUAGUACUAGCUGUGUCUCCAUGCAUGAAUGUUUUAUACAGGUGAUGUAAAAGAUGACAUGAGUCUAGGAGAUGCUGAAGCCAUCAAUGUGAAAGAAGCCUGAAUCACUGAGUCACCAUGUGGAAGAGAGGCAAAAACAAGCCUAGAAUACCAUCCUGAACUGUUAAAUCACAUUAAUGGCUUCUCAGACACCAAUAUGUUGCUCACAAGGAACACUAAAAUUUUAUUUAGUGAUACCACACUGCUUAAUAACAAAAAGAAGGAGUACCUUCAAGUUAUGGAUUGCUUUAAUGGAAUAGAGAUCCAGCAUGAAGCCGACCUGUUUCUUAACACAAUUUGUCAAAUAUGUCGCAUUCUUAUUACUCAAGGAUGUCCGUGGAUGGAGCAGUGGAAUAAACCUCGCCUGAAAGCUUGUGAGACAUGCCAACUCUCAGGCACCGUGUGAGACACACUGAAUCAGAAUCUGCAUUUCAAUGAGAUUCCCAAGGAAUUUGCAUGCACAUUUAUGUUUGUAUGUACAAUACAGUUUGUUUGAAAAAAAUAAGGCAUGCUAAUUUUUAUCAGAGAUAAUAUAUUAUCAAAAUUAAACUUUUUACCCUAAUAUGCCACUCGUGGGCAUAUGGUUCACAACAUUCUUUCUGCCUUUUAUGCCACUUUGCCCCUUCUUUAGUUAAUAAAUUUGAUUCUCCUCAUACAACCUGGGUUCCCCGUUCUUUCUUCUUAGGUCAAAUUUGGUUGUUCUCUUGUUUAUGUUACCAUGAAACUUAGUUUAGGUAGCUCUAGCAAUGUGUUUGCAUUGGAUUAUAAUUCUUUG